UAAGUUCGAGAGAAGAAAGCCGAAAGGCGCCGAUAGAGGAGUCCGCGGUCGAUUAGCUAGUUGGCGGGGUAAAGGCCCACCAAGGCUACGAUCGAUAGCCGGCCUGAGAGGGCACACGGCCACACUGGCACUGAAACACGGGCCAGACUCCUACGGGAGGCAGCAGUGGGGAAUCUUGCACAAUGGGGGAAACCCUGAUGCAGCGACGCCGCGUGAACGAUGAAGCCCUUCGGGGUGUAAAGUUCUUUCGGCAGGGACGAUAAUGACGGUACCUGAAGAAGAAGCUGCGGCUAACUACGUGCCAGCAGCCGCGGUAAUACGUAGGCAGCAAGCGUUGUUCGGAAUUACUGGGCGUAAAGAGUGCGUAGGCGGUUUGGCAAGUUUGGUGUGAAAUCUCCCGGCUUAACUGGGAGGGUGCGCCGAAAACUGCCAGGCUAGAGUAUGGGAGAGGAAAGUGGAAUUCCUGGUGUAGCGGUGAAAUGCGUAGAUAUCAGGAGGAACACCUGCGGUGUAGACGGCUUUCUGGACCAUUACUGACGCUGAGGCACGAAAGCGUGGGGAGCAAACAGGAUUAGAUACCCUGGUAGUCCACGCCCUAAACGAUGCAGACUUGGUGUUGGCCUUUCAUUGGGUCAGUGCCGAAGCUAACGCGGUAAGUCUGCCGCC
rnacentral:rRNA from 1 species